CCGGAGCUGCGUGGUGCGACGGCAUCAUACUCCCGGGGCCUUACGAUCCUGAAGGGAGCUGUCCCUGACCGGGCCCGUGGGCUCGGACAUAUGGCACCCACCUACUUCUGUAGGUUCCCGGGGUCGAAAACCGAAACGGCCAACGCGGCUCCGCU
rnacentral:other from 1 species